UGGGGGAUAGCCCGGAGAAAUCUGGAUUAAUACCCCAUGGCACAGCACAAGGGCAUCUGCGAGCUGUUAAAGAUUCAUCGGUAUGAGAUGGGCAUGCGUCUGAUUAGCUAGUUGGCGGUGUAACGGACCACCAAGGCGACGAUCAGUAGGGGUUCUGAGAGGAAGGUCCCCCACACUGGCACUGAGAUACGGGCCAGACUCCUACGGGAGGCAGCAGUAGGGAAUAUUGGGCAAUGGACGAGAGUCUGACCCAGCCAUGCCGCGUGCAGGAAGACGGCGUUCUGCGUUGUAAACUGCUUUUAUCUGGGAAGAAAAGGCCCGUGCGCGGGACAUUGCCGGUACCAGAUGAAUAAGCACCGGCUAACUCCGUGCCAGCAGCCGCGGUAAUACGGAGGGUGCAAGCGUUGUCCGGAUUUAUUGGGUUUAAAGGGUGCGUAGGCGGCUGUUUAAGUCAGUGGUGAAAGACUCCGGCUCAACCGGAGCAGUGCCAUUGAUACUGGAUAGCUUGAGUGUUGGAGGGGUACAUGGAAUUGAUGGUGUAGCGGUGAAAUGCAUAGAUACCAUCAGGAACACCGAUGCGAAGCAUUGUACUGGCCAACAACUGACGCUGAGGCACGAAAGCAUGGGGAGCGAACAGGAUUAGAUACCCUGGUAGUCCAUGCCGU
rnacentral:rRNA from 1 species